rfam:Parcubacteria bacterium GW2011_GWA1_53_13 TY78_C0012, whole genome shotgun sequence.
GCGGGUGUAGUUUAGUGGUAAAAUACGACUCUUCCAAAGUUGAGUCGGGAGUUCGAUUCUCCCCACCCGCA